AACUCGUUCUCAGAGUAUGCCCGUUCGCAGGUUAGGGCCCAGUACCUAACCUGCGAACGGGCAUACUCUGGGAACGAGUCGAUAAG